GAUGAACGCUAGCUACAGGCUUAACACAUGCAAGUCGAGGGGAAACGAUAGAGAAAGCUUGCUUUUUCUAGGCGUCGACCGGCGCACGGGUGAGUAACGCGUAUCCAACCUGCCCACCACUUGGGGAUAACCUUGCGAAAGUAAGACUAAUACCCAAUGACGUCUCUAGAAGACAUCUGAAAGAGAUUAAAGAUUUAUCGGUGAUGGAUGGGGAUGCGUCUGAUUAGCUUGUUGGCGGGGUAACGGCCCACCAAGGCGACGAUCAGUAGGGGUUCUGAGAGGAAGGUCCCCCACAUUGGAACUGAGACACGGUCCAAACUCCUACGGGAGGCAGCAGUGAGGAAUAUUGGUCAAUGGACGAGAGUCUGAACCAGCCAAGUAGCGUGCAGGAUGACGGCCCUAUGGGUUGUAAACUGCUUUUAUAAGGGAAUAAAGUGAGUCUCGUGAGACUUUUUGCAUGUACCUUAUGAAUAAGGACCGGCUAAUUCCGUG
rnacentral:rRNA from 1 species